rnacentral:tRNA from 6 species
GCGCCGGUAGUCUAUCGGUUAGGAUGCGAGCUUCCCAAGCUCGUGGGCCGGGUUCGAUUCCCGGUCGGCGCA